UUCUUUCUUUUAACCGGGGUAAAAUUACUCUUCCCCCGAUAUACAUUGCAGUGUGGCUGCAUUGCCAGUAAAAAACCGCGCCGCGCGGCUGAUUCUUGUCUAAUCUCUGUGACUGCAGCGCAGAGGCUCCGAAAGGGGGAAAAGAUGCAAGCGGCGGUCCCCUGCCGGUCGUAGCGAGCCGAGGUGCAAGGCUACGUCGGGGAUAUACGAUUCCAGGCAGCCCCCUCUGCUUCUGCAGGCAGCUUCCCUAUCCCGGUCUAUUCUGUCCGUCCCACCCACCGUUUUCCACAGCAAACAGCCCCGGGGGGUGAGCUGGGGGCAGCCACAGGCUGCCUCGCGUACGCUGCAGGAGCCUUUUACUAGAGAAAAAAAACCACGCUGGAAUUGCUACCCCCCUUCUGUCUGCCACAGACCAGGGAGAACACACACCGGGGGGCGCAGCAUUCGGGAGGCCUGGCGUUUGGGGAGAAGAAAUGAUCCCACUGUUGAGUCUGUAGCAAGGGCUUGUCCUUUUCCGUCUCACCCUCGAGAAAGUUUAUGUCUGGUUUCGAUAGAACUGCUGCGAGGAAAGAGACCCAGAAGAAAGUAAAGCCUUCCCCAGGCAUGCCUGCCUUCUAGGGACUAUUUAUUUUUGCCAUGUGCAGCCCUCUCCUAAGAGAGAUCGAUUGCAGGGUGGCAACCUAACUCUAGGGUUUUUGCACAGCUCUGCAGCAUGAUUUGCUGGUACAACUCCCCGCUCACAGACAGCUAGCAGGCUUAACAAGGAGGAUAAAGAGGAGCUGCAGGACUCCAAAUGCCUGGAAGAGGAGGAUUAGGGACAGUGCCACCUAGCUGGCCCCCAAUCUCAAAGAAAUACCUGGUGUUAUCACGAAGGGGAGUCUGAAUUCAUGGAGGCAACGGCCCAGGAAGACAGCACAAUUAGCCUCCGCAAAGCUUGUCUGAGAGACUCUGCAGAAGUUAACGCUCAGAUACACCUACCAGCGAGAACCCGUGGGAAGGAGAGUUGUUCUGAAGCAAGAGGUGGUGGUGAACAGGGAAAGCAGAACUCUCCUGAACAGGCCCAGGGCUGUGUUUCUGAGGUGUGGUUAUCCUGGUGUAAUCAUCUAAUAAGAUUAUAUCAGGUCGGUGACAGAGAGCCCUGCCAAUCUACUGAUGUCCGCUUUAUAUCUGCAGAUGCCUGUGGACUAUGUUUGCAGAUCGAUCCAGAUCCAAAUUUUAUAUCUAGAGCCCUGCAAAUCCACAGAUACCUGCACAUCUUGGUUGCAGAUUGGAUGCGGAUACACAUUUUGUAUCUGUGCAGGGCUCUAGGCAUUCACACCAUGCCUUGCAGGAAGGUCUGGGGGUGGCAGAACUGGAAAGGUUUUUCAUAGGCACGUGUCACAAGUCUCUGCCUAUUUCAAUGACUGGAAUGAAAUCAGGUAGUGUUUACUAUUCUGUGACUUACCUCAUUGCUGCUAUUGGAUAUGGCUCACAUAAUCAGGCUGACCUUCCUGUACAUAACAGAUGCUUUCACCCAAAACCAUGGCAAAGGAAUUCAGAAGUAUCUUUCAGGCAGGGCCAUUGUUCCCAGUUAUGAAACAAACCAUCAGUCAUUCAGUGAAAAGUGUCCAAGAACAGCCACCUGCCUCUGAAAGACGGGUAACUAGCUCGCAUCCCUCCAUGCACACUCACUCCCUGUUGGUAAUGAGCAGCCAGGCUGGUGCUCCUAGCCCUCGAAUACUGUCUAAAGCUAGCGGUAAACUAAUGAUAUUAAUGCGCAGAGAUAGAAACUUGCAGGUGUGGGCCUGUCUCCAAUCCAGACAGUAUCUUUCAGUUAGUUCCAUGUUUUAAACACAAGCAAUACAUGAUGUACUCCUGCCAAAGAAUGGAUGUAGCUCACUGAAAUGGAUGUAGCUCACUGAAUACCCUUUAUUUCUACAGCACCUUUCAGCAGAGGCUUGACUCUGAAGCACAGAGCGGUUAGAGGAUUUACCAAAGGUCCGUGGCAGAGAUGAGAAUAGAACCCAGGAGUUCCAAUUCACCUCUCUGCUCUAAAGUCUAGACCACACUAAUUCCUCUGCUUCAGCCCCUUGGGCAAAAAGCACAGUAGUGAGCAUCACGUAAUAGCUUUUCACUUCUCUGAUGAUCAAGGGUAUGGAACCACUUCCAUAUGAGGAGAGGCUAAGAAAAUGAGGGUUGUAAGCUUAGACGAGACAGUGAAGGGCGGUAGACGUGAUGGAGGUCUGUAAAAGCAUGAAUGGUGUGGGGAAAAAAGUUAUGUAUCCUUUCCCACAAUACAAAAAACAGUUGUCACCCAAGGAAAUUAAUAAGCAGCAGGUUUAAUACAAACUAAAGUAAGUACUUUUCCACAUACUUCACAACCUGUGGAACUCAUUGCCAUGGGAUGUUGGGAAGGCCAAAACUAGAUGAGUUUAUGGCAAAGAGAAAAGGAGUACUUGUGGCACAUUAGAGACUAACCAAUUUAUUUGAGCAUAAGCCACAAGUACUCCUUUUCUUUUUGCGAAUACAGACUAACACGGCUGUUACUCUGAAACCUGUCUUUAUGGCAAAGGUCCAUCGAUGGGUACUUGCCAAGAUAGUCAGCAAUGCAACCCCAUGCUUGGAGUGACCCUAAGCCUGACUACAGGAGGGGAAGACAGGGAUGGAGUACUCCAAACUCUCUGUUCUGUACACUCCCCCUGAAGCUCUGGCGGUGGCCACUGUUGGAUACAGGACACUGGGCCAGAUGGACCAUUGUGCUGACCCAGUAUGGCUGUUCUUAUGCUCUCUUUCAGAGAAUCUCUUACUGUUCCUGAAAUGUAUGUCGGGGGAUGGUAAGAGCUUUUCAGGCUGAUCUCUGACUUACACAGCACAGGGGAAAGAUCUGGUGGUGUUAAUAAGAUCCAGGAGUUCUCUGCCUUAAAAAAAGAUGGUCAUGAACAUUUACUGGUCCACACACAAAAUAUACAGUGGUUCUCCACCAUGAGGAAUUGCAAUGAAAAGUAUUUAUUUUUUCCUGCCCCUCAGAAAGCUCCCUGCUCUGCAGAAGCAGAGUCUUGCAGGGCUCAGCCCCUUCUAAUGCGGAUGCGGCCUAUUGCAUGGUUAUUUAGACCCACACAAGCUUUGUGAGGGUCCAGGGUAAAACAUUACCAGCUCAGGCGGAGAAGAAGGGGUUAAACGAGGAGGGGACAGGUUUCAGGCGCCCAAUGGGCUACAAGCAGGGGUGGGACUCCCCAGCUAUAGUUUGGUUGAGAAGCAGGGAAACCCCGCCUGUAGCACCAGUGGGAAGCAGCCAAUGGGCGAGCCCGGCCCGAGUGGGGUGAUUUUGCCUCACAGCUCCGGUCGGGCUGCGAUUACAUCAUGCCAAUCCCCCGGGGGCUGGAGCAGCCGGUGCAGCACGUGGCUCAGGGUCACCCUCCCUGUUCCUGAGUGGGCUGGCUGGGGAAACAAGCCAGCCCAGGGCCCAGCUGGUCAGGCCUGCGCUUGCUCUGACAGGGUUAGAGAAGCCACUUUGAGGGGCAUCAAGGGUGAACCCCCCCCCCCCAAAGCCAGGCACUGGGGGGGCAGGAUGUGAGAGCAAACACCAGGGGCCAGAUGUCAGUCCCGCGGCUUAAUGCACAACCCAAAGGCGCUCAGAUGCUGCAGGGCUGAGAACAGGAGUACUUGUGGCACCUUAGGGACUGACCAAUUUAUUUGAGCACGAGCUUUCGUGAGCUACAGCUCACUUCAUGGGAUGCAUGCCGUGGAAAAUACAGGGGGGAGAUUUUAUAUACACAGAGAACAUGAAACAAUGGGUGUCACACCAUACACACUGUAACCAGAGCGAUCAGACACUGUCCAGUUUGACCAACGUACAUGGCAGAAGGGUACUGCUGGCACAUGAUGGCAUAUAUCACAUUGGCAGAUGUGCAGGCAAUUACAUGCAGAUUGACACUCAGACCAGCCUAUUCGGAAGCACCUACCAGCAGAAGGGGAUGGUCCCUAUGUAAAUCAAAGGCAAGGCCGCUCUCACUACACUUUCAGAUCAACAAGAGCACGGAGAAGGUAGCCAAGAGCGAUCUUUACAGUGCGAAGAGGGCAUCCUCUGAGCGUUCCUGCUUCUUCCUGCCUGAAGGAUUCGUAGGAGGAGUGGGGGCCUCCAGCGGAGGAGAAGUGAAGAUGCUCCAGAAGGAUACACUAUGGAACAUCAGCUACCAAGAGUUUGGUGGAUCGGAAGAGGAUCUCUGCUGGGUGACUGUAUCAGAAGAGAGCAAUAUGGAUAUUCUACUCUAAGGCACUGGACUGAGACCGCUCUGAAAGCCAGGGACUUCUCUGCUUACCUUCACUUGUCACGCCUUCUUCCAGUUCUUCUCCUUUCUGCAGUUGGAACAAAGAAACAAGUAUGAACACGUACUUCACUUCUCUUUCAGUUUCAGCCUAAGCAUGUUUACAAGUAACCCAUACCAUUCACUGCCUCUGCCCCUUUGCUUAACCACAGUUACUAUUUGAGCAAGAUGACCUAGAUGAGUCACAUCGUGCUCAUGACAGGAGGCAGACGAACGACCCAGUAUUUCUCUGUGUUGCAGAACAAGAGAAAUAGUCCAAAUGAUGGUGCUAUUGAUUAUUGGCGACAUCCAUUAUCAGUGCACUCCCCAUUAGACCUGAGUGACAGUCAGGUAAUCUCCAUCUUCUCCAGUUCCAA